rnacentral:rRNA from 1 species
UACGUAGGGUGCGAGCGUUAAUCGGAAUUACUGGGCGUAAAGCGUGCGCAGGCGGUUCGCCAAGUCAGGUGUGAAAUCCCCGGGCUUAACCUGGGAAUUGCGCUUGAAACUAGCGGGCUUGAGUGUGGCAGAGGGGGGGUGGAAUUCCACGUGUAGCAGUGAAAUGCGUAGAGAUGUGGAGGAACACCGAUGGCGAAGGCAGCCCCCCUGGGUCAACACUGACGCUCAUGCACGAAAGCGUGGGGAGCAAACAGG